GACGAACGCUGGCGGCGUGCUUAACACAUGCAAGUCGAACGAAGAGCGAUGGAAGCUUGCUUCUAUCAAUCUUAGUGGCGAACGGGUGAGUAACGCGUAAUCAACCUGCCCUUCAGAGGGGGACAACAGUUGGAAACGACUGCUAAUACCGCAUACGAUCUAAUCUCGGCAUCGAGGAUAGAUGAAAGGUGGCCUCUACAUGUAAGCUAUCACUGAAGGAGGGGAUUGCGUCUGAUUAGCUAGUUGGAGGGGUAACGGCCCACCAAGGCGAUGAUCGGUAGCCGGUCUGAGAGGAUGAACGGCCACAUUGGGACUGAGACACGGCCCAGACUCCUACGGGAGGCAGCAGUGGGGAAUCUUCCGCAAUGGACGAAAGUCUGACGGAGCAACGCCGCGUGAGUGAUGACGGCCUUCGGGUUGUAAAGCUCUGUUAAUCGGGACGAAAGGCCUUCUUGCGAAUAGUGAGAAGGAA
rnacentral:rRNA from 1 species